UUUGUCCAUACAAAAUUAGGGAACAUUCAGAUACUUUUCUGACACCUUCAGUUAAGGAUUUUGAAACGAGAUGGAGGAGAUAUGGACACAGAAGAAAUUGCUCUGCUUUAUUUUAGAAGUUUUUGUCAUCGACCAGAUGAUUAUAUUUUAAAAAGACGAGAAGAUCAAUAUCCGUUUGAACUCCGAUUUAUUUGGAUUUUUUGUUGAUUUCAUAGAUUCCGUAGAUUUCAAGGUUUUCAACUGCAUUAGCUUUAAAUGUUUUUGAAUAUUAUCAUUUUGUGUGCCAAUUAAAAGCAUUGGGUGUUUUUACAAUGCACGUAAUAUAAAGAACAAUACUUAAUAUACGAUUGGUUCCUACUUUACAUGUUAAAAAUACUAAUUAAUGAGUGACUUCAAUAUUAAAUAACAACACUUUUAUGUAGUGAGGGCAAUGUAUCGAGCAUUUUUUUAAAAAAAAGAACAAUAUUGCUUAUUUAUAUUUUGACCAGUUCAUGAUUAAAUAUAAUGCGCCGCUGUGUUACUUCAUAGAAAAUGAUAGGUACAUCGUGUUUUAGUCAGGUUAAAAAUAUGCACACUCAAGUGUUGAUUUUUUUAUGCUAUGAACAAACACAACAUUUUGAAAUGUAAAUGUAGUUUAAGACCAACACCUUUAAGACAUUCAGUCAAUCACAUAUUAUUAAUUUAAAGCAGUUCUACAUAAACAAGGUUUGAUUUAUCCUUGAGUCGCUUUUAAUAUAAUUUUCCGAUGCGUUCCAUGGUUUCUUCAUUGGAAUGGGACCCACACUUAUUCAUAUUAACAUACAUAAUUGACACAUCAUGUAGGUAUUGGCAUGUUGAAUAUCUUGUGUGUUUCAUUAUGAUAAUUAUUUUUGUUUGAAAUUAUUUUGCAUAAAAUCAAAACAGCCGUCCAUAAUUUGCAUCUUCAUGUAAAAUGUAAAUAUUUGUUUAAAAAGAUGUUAUCAAAAAUAAAUAUCUUAAUUUUGUUAUGAUUUGGACCCAUUAUAAGACAAUGAGUUUAAAACUGUUAAGAGUAACAUAUUAUUGUUUUUCACUGUAGAUGUUUCAGCAACUACAAUCUUCAAAAAGAUGAAACGAUGCUAUGAAUUAUUCCUUGCAAUUAAAAGAUAUCAGUAGAGUACAGAUUACAAUUAUACGAGUACAUGUAUAAAGGCCCAUUAUGCUUAAUUCAAAGAAAUCAAUAUCGUAAAUACCUGUAUAGAAGCUAAACUCUAUCACUUUCACUGGAACGAAAGGCACAAAAUUGGAGCAAUUACCCAAUGUAUAGUGUAAAAUGAAAUUCUUCGGAAGAAAAAUAUGUUCUUUAUUAUUUAUUUAUUAUUGUAUGAGUUUACAGGUAACUUCACACUGCAUCCUUGUCUAAAGGGCGUCCAGAGCAAAGAGUAAGCCUCGCUAUUCGAAGUUCUUAUCCGGAUUUUGGUUAGACAACAAUGUGCUACUGUAAGAUAGUCACUUUUGCAAUGUCACUUUUUUAAUAAGUCCUAAUGAAUUCAUUUUUAGCUCACCUGAGCUGAAAGCUCAAGUGAGCUAUUCUGAUCACAUUUUGUCCGUCGUCCGUCUGUCCGUCCGUCUGUCCGUCUGUCCGUCUGUAAACUUUUUACAUUUUGAACUUCUUCUCUAAAACCGCUUAUCCAAUUUCAACCAAAUUUGGCACAAAGCAUCCUUAUGGGAGGGCGAAUAUAAAUUGCAGAAAUAAAAGUCCGAUCUGCAUUCAAAGCGGAGAAAACCUUGAAACUGUAGAAAAAGGGGGGUGCAUU